rnacentral:lncRNA from 1 species
GCUCUGUUUAUGAUGAUAGGUUCCAUCACAAAAAGAUGAAACUGAAGUGCCAACAGUUUCUUUUGGAGCAAGAAAAGGAAUUGUUUGGAAUUACUCCUGAGGAAAAAAACCAGACGUUAGUAAAGCUGAAGAACUAACUGGGCUUUCUGCAGUUCUGUCAAUCCAUGGGAAAGCUUCCGUCUACCCAGAUCCUGCCAGAAGGGCUUUUCUUCGGGAGUCUAGAGGUACAAAGUAAAAGAACAUUAACAUCACCUCAAGGAAGAUUUCUCCAGAGUCUCCCAAAGGAAUAUGUAAUGAAGGCUUAAAUACAUCAACAGUUAAGUCUACAGAACUUGUCCCAAAGUUUAGAGCUUUUGUAGAAUCUAGGGGAUAUCUAAAUAUUUCUACUUGCUAUAUGAGAGAGUGAAGGCGGGAAAACUUCCUUGGACAGCUUUUAAAAGUGAUAUAAGCAACCAAAAUCAUUAUUCCCCACCAGUCAUCUUUAAAAAACAAUAUUGGUUGUGUAAUUUACAUUUCCAUUGUAUAAUUUAUGGUUAUUUUGACUAGCUAAUAGUUUGCAAUAUAUUAAAUUAAUAAUGUGUGGAGUUGUAAUUCUUUACUAUGUAUAUGUAGCAUAUUGAUCUUUUCUUAAUAAUUACUGUGGUUAUUAAGUAUAUCUAUACCCAUAUCAUACCCUUCAGAGCAAAAUUGCAAUAUCAUACAUUUUUCCAGAGCUUCAUGGCUGUUAGAUGUGAAUUUUUUAUUCACUAAAAAGUAUUUAUUCAGAGUCUGGUAUAUGCUGGUGCCAGUGAUAAUGUGAUAAAAUGAAUAAAUCCCGGUUUUAAUACUUGUUACUGAGAAAGAAUAUCCAUCUCAUUGGAAAUGGCUAUUUUUUUUCUUUAAUAUGGUAUGAAAAAAUGUUCUGCAAUGAAACACAAUGACUUUUUGUAGUUUAAU